rnacentral:tRNA from 1 species
GCCGAGUGGUUAAGGCGACAGACUAGAAAUCUGUUGGGCUCUGCCCGCACAGGUUCGAAUCCUGUCGGCGACG